rnacentral:rRNA from 1 species
GGGUGAGUAACAUGUAGGUAUCUUCCCUUUGGUGAGGAAUAACACGAGGAAACUUGUGCUAAUACCUCAUAAGUCUUUACGGAGAAAGCUUUAUGCGCCGAAGGAUGAGCCUGCACUUGAUUAGUUUGUUGGUGGGGUAAUGGCCUACCAAGACUUUGAUCUAUAGCUGAUCUGAGAGGAUGAUCAGCCACAUUGGGACUGAGACACGGCCCAAACUCCUACGGGAGGCAGCAGUAGGGAAUAUUGCACAAUGGAGGAAACUCUGAUGCAGCGAUGCCGCGUGAGUGAAGAAGGCCUUUGGGUUGUAAAGCUCUUUCGUCGGGGAAGAAAAUGACUGUACCCGAAUAAGAAGGUCCGGCUAACUUCGUGCCAGCAGCCGCGGUAAUACGAAGGGACCUAGCGUAGUUCGGAAUUACUGGGCUUAAAGAGUUCGUAGGUGGUUAAAAAAGUUGGUGGUGAAAUCCCAGAGCUUAACUCUGGAACUGCCAUCAAAACUUUUUAGCUAGAGUAUGAUAGAGGAAAGCAGAAUUUCUAGUGUAGAGGUGAAAUUCGUAGAUAUUAGAAAGAAUACCAAUUGCGAAGGCAGCUUUCUGGAUCAUUACUGACGCUGAGGAACGAAAGCAUGGGUAGCGAAGAGGAUUAGAUACCCUCGUAGUCCAUGCCGUAAACGAUGUGUGUUAGACGUUGGAAAUUUAUUUUCAGUGUCGCAGCGAAAGCAUUAAACACACCGCCUGGGGAGUACGACC